CACCCGUGCUCCUCAUCGCCCGUCCAACAGCUCCCGCCCGGCAAUCACGCUACACCCUUCCCCACCACGCCCGUCGCGUCUCCUCAUCGCGCGUCCAACAGAUCCUGCCCGGCAAUCACGCGCCACCCUUCCCCACCACGCCCGUCGCACCUCCUCAUCGCCCGUCCACCGCCGCCACUCUGCGCGCCCUCCCCCCACGCUUGUCGCGCCGCCGCUCCCAUCCCACCUCGACGCCGCACCGCUCCAAGCUAGCUGUCGUGGCCGCCCGUCGUCUGCCGCGAUCGAGCGUCGAUGCUACGCCCCUCCUUCGCGGCAUCGUUCCGACGCCCCUCCUUCGCGGCGGCGACCUCCCCCUCUUGUCUCAUGUGAGCGAUUCUCCGAGGGACAUGUUCACCGGACUCUCUCCGCCCGAAGCUAUUCGUGUCGCCGUCAGGUCUCCACGCCGCCCCACAUCGCCGGACUCAACUCCGCCCGAAGCAGCCGAACCAGCCGGGAUCCCUCGCUUUCGCCACCGCUUCCUAUUUCCUCCCCUAAGCUGCUGCUAGGAUGUUGUCCCUGAAUCGCAUCUCAUUCCCGCAGCCGUCGCCAUCUCGCCUCUCACCUGCCCACAGGCCGGGUGGCGUCCUGACCAGGUGCAGCAACGCCGUCGCCUCGCCCAGAAGAUCUUCGGCGCCAUCAAGCUCCAGCUCAGGAGGUUCCUCCUAAUAGCGGUGAGCUAUUCUUACUUUCAGGACCAGGAUGCAAGCUAAAGGAGGGAUCUCCAUCUCGACUUCACGCAGUGGCCACAGGCCACAGCACUUCAACUUGCAAUUCAAACUGCACAAGGAUUUCAGAUGCCCUCCUUCCAUUUCUUCUCUGAUUGUCAGAUGCUUGUCAACGCUGUAAAAGCUGCCGAUCCAAUUGACAGCCCUGGACAUUCGAGAAAAUAAUUUUGUGUGCCCUCAUGAAGGUUGUGGAAAGGAGAAUUUACAUUUGUCAGUACCAUUCCUAUAUAUUGGCCAAAUACAAAUGGAAUUAUUUCGCGUUACAAAAUCUACAUCUCUAGAAAAUACAUACAUCUAAACAAGCCACCUGAGAUUGAUGCUUCCUGACAUACCGAUCACCCAAAUGUCCAGGUGAGUUCGCACUUUCAUUUUUUAUGCUUUUAGCUUUUGAGGCAAACUGAACAUUCUGAUCGAAUCAUAUUCUUUACGCUCAUGCCUAGGUAUUGACUUCAUUUAAAAAAACAACAGUUACGACUUUGCGUUUCCGUAUUCAUGUGAGAUUGACAUUUAAACAAAAACCGUGUUGACUAUUGGUAUCUAAGUACGUAGUGCAUCUACGUGCAGGAGCCUCCCUGAAAACCUUUGAGAAUUGCUGAUAACUAUGCAAGCUAAAGAGCUGCCCCCUUUUGUUCACUACGAAGAUGAGGACAUCUUCCUGACAUUUGAGGAGUCAAGACUCAAGAGCAAUGAUCGAUAACACCAUCAUCCAAGAGCUAUACGUAUUUGCAGUUCUCUUUGAGUCUUUGAUUCAGUCGUUCAACAGCUUGGUUAACUGCAUGGGUUGUAGGCAAAGAGAAGACUGAAUUUUGGCUUCUACGAUGGGUUAACUGAACAUGCAUGUCCUGGAAGCAAGUGCAAUCCUGCACUGGCAUUAUAUAUGCAUAUAAUUCUGAGUCAAGCUCAGUCUUAGCAGAACAGAUAAUUAGUUUUUUAUUUACUUUGGCGUAUAUGGAAGAGUAGACAUGACUAUCUGUUCAAAAUUAUAUACAUAGUUCUUACUCAAGUUCAGUCUCAGCAGGACAAAGCAUU